rnacentral:rRNA from 1 species
GAUGAACGCUGGCGGCGUGCCUAAUACAUGCCAGUCGAGCGAACGGACGUGAAGCUUGCUUCUCUGAUGUUAGCGGCGGACGGGUGAGUAACACGUGGAUAACCUACCUAUAAGACUGGGAUAACUUCGGGAAACCGUAGCUAAUACCGGAUAAUAUUUUGAACCGCAUGGUUCAAAAGUGAAAGACGGUCUUGCUGUCACUUAUAGAUGGAUCCGCGCUGCAUUAGCUAGUUGGUAAGGUAACGGCUUACCAAGGCAACGAUGCAUAGCCGACCUGAGAGGGUGAUCGGCCACACUGGAACUGAGACACGGUCCAGACUCCUACGGGAGGCAGCAGUAGGGAAUCUUCCGCAAUGGGCGAAAGCCUGACGGAGCAACGCCGCGUGAGUGAUGAAGGUCUUCGGAUCGUAAAACUCUGUUAUUAGGGAAGAACAUAUGUGUAAGUAACUGUGCACAUCUUGACGGUACCUAAUCAGAAAGCCACGGCUAACUACGUG